rnacentral:sRNA from 1 species
UUGACAGUCCUGGAAACUGAUGCCCUAAUUAUCCUCAGAACAGGUGCACAUGGGCAUUAUCCUGCCAAUGUGACUCAGACUAGAGAUGAAGAGCCUAAUUCUCAGUUUAGAUGGUAGUUCAGUAUAAAACCUUCU